GGGCGGCGGAGGCGGGGCCGGAGCCGGGCGGCGCUGUCAGUGCGGCUCGGAGCGGAAUGCAGCGGCCCGAGGCCUGGCCACGUCCGCACCCAGGGGAGGGGGCCGCCGCGGAGGUAGCGGCGGCAGCCCGGGGGGGAACGGCGCCGGGCGCCGGGGCCACGGAACCCCCGGGGCUGCGGUUGCAGGAACCGUCUCUCUACACUGUCAAAGCAAUUUUCAUCCUGGAUAAUGAUGGACAACGGCUUCUGGCCAAGUACUAUGAUGAUACAUUCCCCUCCAUAAAGGAGCAGAAAGCCUUUGAAAAAAAUGUCUUCAACAAGACUAAUAGGACUGACAGUGAGAUUGCCUUUUUUGGAGGUAUGACCAUUGUCUACAAGAGCAGCAUCGACCUUUUCCUGUAUGUCGUGGGCUCAUCCCAGGAAAAUGAGCUGAUGCUUAUGUCAGUCCUUACCUGCCUGUUUGAUUCCCUGAACCACGUGUUACGGAGGAACAUAGAGAAACGCUCGUUGGUGGAGAACAUGGAUGGAGCUUUCCUGGUGGUGGAUGAGAUCGUGGAUGGCGGUGUGAUUCUGGAGAAUGAUCCGCAGCAGGUGAUUCAGAAAGUGAACUUCCGGGUAGAGGACAGCGGCCUGUCUGAGCAGAGUGUGGCCCAGGUCCUUCUGCCCAGACUAAUCCUGCCUGCAUGAAGCUCCCUGCUCCAGGCACUCACUAACACCUUACCCCCCACGGCGUAACCGAGGCCGGAAGACACGCUGCUGUUCCUUCUGUCUCUUGCUGGGCCCCAGGUUCUACAGUCUGCCAAGGAGCAAAUUAAGUGGUCCUUGCUGAAGUAAAAACCACAGGAGCCAAACCCGCCUCUGCUCCAAGUGCUGUGAACCGCCGAGGACCCAGAAGGACAAGAGUCCCUCCCUCUUGCUCUCCCCAGGCCUCCUCCUCAUACUAAUCAGAAGCCCGAGUUCCUGAUCUCUGACACAGUGGCCAGAAGGGACCCUGUCAUUUUGAGUCAUGAAAUCUCAGAGCUGGAAAGGACUUCGGUCAUCCCCCCUAGCCAGACAUCCAAAUAGGCAUCCCUCUGCAGUAUCCGGAAGUGGACAGCCAACCCCCACUUGAUGAGUUAUAGUGAUAGGGGAGAACUCAUUACUCUCCAGCAAUCGUCCAUUUUACUUUAAGACCAUUUUCAUGUGGGAGUCAGUCAUUCCCUACCCCUGCCUGCUCCCAAGGCAACCAACUGAUCUGCCUCCUUAAUAUGGGACUCUUGUCUCUGAGGACUGCAAUAAAACAAGUUUUUCUCCUUU